GACGAACGCUGGCGGCGGGCUUAACACAUGCAAGUCGAACGGCAGGGCCCUGCGUGCUUGGUGUGCUCGAGGGGCGAACGGGUGAGUAACACGUGAGUAACCGGCUCUUGAUUUUGGUAUAACUUCAGGAAACUGGGGCUAAUACCGUACAGGAUCUCCCGCUGCAUGGUGGGGGUGGGAAAGUUUCGGCGGGUGGGGAUGGACUCGCGGCUUAUCAGCUUGUUGGUGGGGUAGUGGCUUACCAAGGCUUUGACGGGUCGCCGGCCUGAGAGGGUGACCGGCCACAUUGGGACUGAGAUACGGACCAGACUCCUACGGGAGGCAGCAGUGGGGAAUAUUGCCCAAUGGGCGGAAGCCUGAUGCAGCAACGCCGCGUGCGGAAUGACGGUCUUCGGGUUGUAAACCGCUUUCGCCUGUGACGAAGCGUGAGUGACGGUAAUGAGUAAAGAAGCACCGGCUAACUACGUG
rnacentral:rRNA from 1 species